rnacentral:rRNA from 1 species
AUUGAACGCUAGCGGCAGUCCUAACACAUGCAAGUCGAACGAGUGGCGGACGGGUGAGCAAUGACUGGGAAACUGACUGAUGGAGGGGGAUAACUACUGGAAACGGUAGCUAAUACCGCAUACCAUCAGAUGUGCCCAUAUGGGAUUAGCGUGUGGGUGGGGUAACGGCGCACCAAGGCGACGAUCCCUAGAUGGUCUGAGAGGAUGACCAGCCCCACGUGAACGGAGACACGGUCCAGACUCCUACGGGAGGCAGCAGUGGGGAAUAUUGCACAAUGGGCGCAAGCCUGAUGCAGCCAUGCCGCGUGUAGGAAGAAGGCCUUCGGGUUGUAAAGUACUUUCAGCGGGGAGGCGUUACCCGCAGGAGAAGCACCGGCUAACUCCGUGCCAGCAGCCGCGGUAAUAC